ACCUGGUAUUAAGAUCAUUAACAGCAGGGAUGUUGUGUUUAAUAAAUGUGAAAUGCCUUGUUUAAAAUCCAAACAUGAUGAUUCUGAGGAAAUUGAAUCUCACGAGAAAUUUCAGAUUAAGGCGAAGUUGGCAAAAUAUGACUUCACUCACUUUGAUGAGAAUGAACCUGUAAGUGUUGAGGUUUAUGUGCCUCAUGGUGAAAAUGAAAUGGAAACUAAUACCCCGAUAAUUGAAGAGAAUUGUAUCCAAGAUUACAAAUUGGUUAGGGAUAGAGAAAGAAAGCAAAUUAAGAAUUGGAGUUUGGUUAAUUUGCUUAAUGGUCAAAGAACAGUGCAAUGUAAGUGGAUUUACAAACUAAAAGAGGGUUUGACUACAUUGAGAUAUUUUUCUCUCGUCAUUGAAUAUAAAACAAUAAUUAGACUGAUUUUAGCAUUAGUUGCUUAAUUCAUUUGGGAAUGUGAACCACUAGAUAUGUGAAAGAAUGCAUUUUGUUGAAAAGCAUUUUGUGUGAUUUGAAUUUUCUGUAUGAUACUUUUAUUACUCUCAUUGUUAGUCAAGUUACAUUGUUGGUUAUUACAAAUCUUGUCCAUUAUGAGAGGUAAACAUAUGUCAAGGUGAAGUAUCAUUUUAGAAGAUAAGAUAGCUUAAGGUGAAGUUAAUCUUGAGAAAAUUCAUGUUGAUGAAUGUCCAUUUGAUAUGACACUUAAAAUGAUUUCAACUAGUAUGUUUAAAUUUUGGUUUAUCAAUUCCGUAUAUUGAUAAUGGAUAAUUCUUUUGCAGGUACCAGGGGAUGAUGAUGAGUAAGUUUGAAUUCGCACUAUUGCAUAUUGGGGAAUGUUUGCAUUUUUGGAACCAAGGUGAAGAUUGAAGGUUAAAAACGUGUUUCCAAAAAUGCAACUCUUUAAGUGAUUGAAGCCACAUGGCAACCUCCUGUUGGCCUAUUCUUUUGACACCAGAUCGUGCUUUCUAAUAUGAAUUGUGAACCAUAGAUUUUAAUCAAUGGUUGGGAUCAUUCCAAGAAAGUAUUUUUGUGGGUUGACCGUGGUUUUUGGAAGAACUCUCUCAUUAUUUUCUUCCUAGGCUUUCGAAACUCUCUCUCUCUCUAAAAAGUCUCAAGUGUAUCUUUCUUCUUCCACUUUCAAUUUUGUGGUUGUGAUAUAGAGAGGAGUUGUAACCCUAUGUGCUCGAUCUUGUAUAGUUGCCUUGAGUCUGUUUAUUGGCUGGUUUGAUGAGGCAUAUAUGUUCGAUUUUGUAUAGAUCGAUUAGGGUUAAUUCUUGAGGUUUUAGAGGCUGAAAAUAGUGGUGUUGUUGUUCUCGGUUAUGAGUACAAUCUGAUUGUGUACUACUUGUAAACUAAGGCGCAGUGCAUUCCAUUCAACGGGCUUACCCCUGGGCCCCCUAGAUUAACCCUUCUUUGGGUAAACUGGGUCACCAAGUUUUGGUGUUCGUGUUCUUUAAUUUUUUGCAUGUUAUUACUUGUUUGUGAUGCUAUGAUUUUUGCCGAUUGAUAGAUGUUUUUGGUUUGACUGAAUGGCUAAAAAUAUAAAAUUAUUGAGGUAAAAACAAAUCUGGGACCAAUAAUCCUAACAGUUUGUUAUCCCAAAGUCCCUUUGGUAUUUCUUCAUCAUGGAUCUUUGAAUUGGGUGCUUCCAAACAUAUGUCAUCUAACUUAAAUUUCUUUAAUGAUUUACACUCUUUUAACUCAUCUAUGUUUGUUAUAACUGCUGAUGGCACCCUACUGCUAGGUAUCAGCUUUGUCAGCACACAUAAUUAAUCACUUUCAGGCAUUUAUUGUGUUCCAACUCUUACUUUAAAUCUUGUUUCUAUAGGCCAAUUAUGUGAAUCUGGAUACUUAGUUCAGUUUUCUUCAACUGCUUAUCAUGUGCAGAUCCUUGAUCAUAGAAACUGACUGGGAUAGAGCCGUAAAUAAAGAGAGUUAUAUGUUCUGGACAAUCUGAAUCCAUCACAUGUUGAAGCAUCUAGUGUCGGCUUGUCGUCUUUUUCUUUGAAUUCUCCUUCUUUUAGUUUUUAUUUGUGGCAUUCUCGUCUUGGACAAGUUUUCGCUAGUCAUUUGAAAUUUUUAAUGUCUAAAGGUCAAUUGGGAGAUUUACAAACUCACGAUAUUUUUUAUUGUAAUGAUUGAAAUUAGAAAAAAAAAAUUUGCUUUACCUUUUCCUCGAAGUAUUUCUCGUUCUAUUGCACCAUUUGAUCUUGUUAAUUCUGAUGUAUGGAGACCUUUUCCUAUUGCUACAAAAAAAAAAGGAUCUAGAUAUUAUGUGUCUUUCAUUAAUGAUUAUAGCCGUUAUUGUAGGGAUUAUCUUAUGAAACGACUUCUGACUUUCUCUCUAUUUAUCGUUUUUUUAGAGCACUUAUUAAAACUUAACAUUCUACUAUAAUUAAGUACUUUCAAUGUGAUAUGGGUGGAGAAUAUACUCCUCCAAAUUUCAUUAAAUUGCUUGCUCUCAAUGCACAAUUCAUCAAAGCUCGUGCACUAACACCUCACAACAAAAUGCUUUUGUCGAACGAUAGAAUAGACAUGUUGAAAUUGCUUUACUUCUCUUAUUAGACAAAAUUCCCAGUGAAUUUUGGGUAAAAGCAGUUUUUAAUGCUAUUUUUCUAAUUAAUAAGAUUCCAUCUCUCUAUACUUCAGGCUUCACAUCUUUUGAAACGUUGUUUGCGUAUCCUCCCGAUUGCUCCAAUUGAGAGUCUUUGAUUGUACUUGCUUUGUUAUUCAUCCAGACGUAGAACGCAGUAAGUAGACAUCUCACUCUGCUAUAUGCGUUUUCUUAGGUUAUGGACAGGGCCAAAAGGGUUAUCGCUGUGAAGAUCCCAUUAAUAAAAAAUGAUAUGUUUCUUAUCAUGUUGUGUUUCUUGAGCAUAUCUCAUUCUUAUCUAUUUCUGAUAAUACUCAUGAUGUGACUAAAACUGACUUCAUUCGUGAAGAUCAAUUCUUUGAUGAUAUUGAUAGACCAUUUUUUCCAUAUCCCAUGUACCAUUUAUUCUUCAUGUCCUACAGGUACAUAUGCACUAGCUAAUGAUAUUCUUCUUCCUUCUAUGGCCUCCCAAGCAUCGCCUGAGAUAUCCAGCUUGUGCUUCCUUCCUCGAUAUCCUCAAUGUAUUCAUAAGUUCACUCGAUUACAUGGUUUUGCUUAUUUUUGUUAUUCGAAGUCUUUUUUCUAAUUUCUUAUCUUCAUUCCCAAGCUAUCUGAACCUCCUUCCUAUAAAGAGCUACUCUAGAUCCUUUUUAGCAACAGGGUAUAACUGAUGAACUCUUUGCCCUUCAUAAAACAGACAUUUGGGACUUAGUUGGCUUACCUUCAGAUAAACAUACUAUUAGUUCUCGUUGGAUUUAUAAGAUUAAAAUAAAAUUUGACAGUUUAGUUUAGCAUUAUAAGGAUAGAUUGAUUGCUAAGGAUUUUAAUCAGCAGCUUUGUCUAGAUUAUGAGGAGACUUUUACACUUGUUGCCAAAAUGACCACUGUUCGUACACUAAUUGCAGUUGGUUGGUUUAUCAGUGGGGUCUCUCUCAAUUGGAUGUCACAAAAAUGCCUUUCUGAAUGGACAUCUUCAAGUGGAGGUUUAUAUGGUUCUCUUUCAGGUCUUUCUGAUAUUUUUGGAUAUGUUUGUAAGCUCAAGAAGGCACUUUAUAGCCUCAAACAGACUCUUUGUGUCUGGUUUGAGAAAUUUUUCACUGAUGUUACCUCUCUUGGCUUCACAUCCAAUCAUCAUGACUUCGCACUAUUCUUUAAGUGUACUCAGCUGGUUGCAUUAUGCUUUUAUUGUUAUAUGAUUAUUAUUGGUGAUGAUGUUGAUGGGAUUGCUAAUCUGAAAUCAAAAUUGGCUCGUCGUUUUGAAAUGAAGGACUUAGGUGUAUUAUCUUAUUUUUAGGGAAACGAAAUUGUUUCUUCUCCUAGAGGUUAUAUUUUCUCUCAAUCCAAGUUUACUAUGGUUGUUAUUGAGUGUGCUCGUCUAACUAAUACUCCUCUUAAAUCCAAUGCUCAUUAUUCACCAUCUAAUGAUGUACCCUUAACUAAUCCUACUUUGUAUCGCGCCAUUGUUCGAUGUCUAGUUAAUCUCACCAUCACACGUCCCCAUAUUCCUUAUACUGUUUACAUUGUUAGUCAGAUUGUUUCGGUUCUUACUACAAUUCAUUGGGUAGCUAUUAUUCGUAUUUUAUGCUAUCUUCGUGGUACUUACUUUCAGAGUCUUUUGUUUCCCUUGACCUUUCCUUUGGUGCUUCGUGCUUACUCUGAUACUGAUUAAGCCAGUAAUCCCAUUGAUCGAAAGUCUACUACUGGCUUUUGUAUAUUUUUUAGUGAUCCCUUAUCUCUUGAAAGAGUAAGAAACAAACUAUUGCUUCUCAUUCCUCUAUUGGGGUAGAGUAUCGUAAUAUAGCAUCUACCAUCACUGAGAUUAUAUGGCUGCGUUGGUUACUUGUAGACGUGGUUUUUCCUUCUUCCUCUCCAACCCCUAUGUAAUAUGACAAUAAAAGUUCUAUUCAGAUAUCGCACAACUCUAUUUUUCAUGAGAGCACAAAGGAUUGACUCUCAUCUAAUCCGCCAUCAUCUACAAGCUAGCACAAUUUCCCUACAUUUUGUUUCUUCCUCUUUGUAGAUUGCUGAAUUCUUCACGAAAUCUCAUCCGAUUCCAUUGUUUUCGCUUCUUGCUUGACAGACUCUGGCUGCUUGUAUGUGUAUAUAUAUAUAUAUAUAUAUUAUUAUUAUUAUUAUUAUUAGAUUUCCUUUUAUUAUUGGCCUUCAAGAAUUGGUUCUUCUUCUUCUCUUCUUUUGGUUGAUUUAUCAAAUCAAAGUAUUAUAAAUAAAUAUUAGAACUAUAUUUUGGAUUAUAAAAUGGGAUAACCAUGAAGAGAUUAACAUAUCUGUUUAUAGACAGAAGAACAAGGAAGAACCUUGGAAAUGGACUGUUUUUUACAGCUUUCUGUCCAUAUUUGCGCCAUCUGUAACCAUCUUCUAGAUGAUCAACUUCACUUUUAGUAACAAAUGCAAAACGUGGCAGACGAAUUCGCUUUUGUCCCUUUUUUCUAGCCUUGCUCCUGCAGAAUAUUCAACCAUGAGUUUCAACGUCCACUUGAUUUCUUGAAAUCAAGGAAAUGGAAAGCUGGCAGCAAUGAUUUAACCUAUGAUGAAAAAGGUACAAUGUA
rnacentral:lncRNA from 1 species